GAUGAAGAACGCAGCGAAAUGCGAUACUUGGUGUGAAUUGCAGAAUCCCGUGAACCAUCGAGUCUUUGAACGCAAGUUGCGCCCGAAGCCAUUAGGCCGAGGGCACGCCUGCCUGGGCGUCACACGUCGUUGCCCCCCCAUCUACUCCUUCGGGAUUGCGGGGGGCGGAUGAUGGCCUCCCGUGCGCCUCGCCGCGCGGCUGGCAUAAAUGCCAAGUCCUCGGCGACGCACGCCACGACAAUCGGUGGUUGCGAAACCUCGGUUGCCCGUCGUGUGCGGUCGUCGCGCAUCGAGGGCUCGAAAAAAUUGCCGGGUUCCGGCUCGGCUUUCAACGCGACCCCAGGUCAGGCGGGGUUACCCGCUGAAUUUAAGCAUAUCAAUAAGCGGAGGA
rnacentral:misc_RNA from 1 species